UGCUCAGAACGAACGCUGGCGGCGUGCCUAACACAUGCAAGUCGAACGAGAAAGUUUCCUUCGGGAAACCAGUAAAGUGGCGCAAGGGUGAGUAACACSUGAMUAAUCUACCUAUGAAUUCGGGAUAACUCSWCGAAAGUUGUGCUAAUACCGGAUAMSACCACGUCUCUUAUGUGAUGUGGCCAAAGGAGUCUCAAACUUCGUUUAUAGAUKWGUUCGCGGACCAUUAGCUUGUUGGCGGGAUAACAGCCCACCAAGGCGACGAUGGUUAGCCGGCCUGAGAGGGUGAUCGGCCACACUGGAACUGAGACACGGUCCAGACUCCUACGGGAGGCAGCAGUGGGGAAUAUUGCGCAAUGGGCGAAAGCCUGACGCAGCAACGCCGCGUGAGGGAUGAAGGAUUUUGGUUCGUAAACCUCUGUCAAGUGGGAAGAAUAAUGACGGUACCACUAAAGGAAGCCCCGGCUAACUCCGUGCCAGCAGCCGCGGUAAUACGGAGGGGGCAAGCGUUGUUCGGAAUUAUUGGGCGUAAAGAGUAUGUAGGCGGCUAGAUAAGUCAGACGUGUAAGCCCAUGGCUCAACCAUGGAAUUGCGUUUGAAACUAUUUAGCUUGAGUGCAGGAGAGGAAAGCGGAAUUCCCAGUGUAGCGGUGAAAUGCAUUGAUAUUGGGAAGAACACCGGUGGCGAAGGCGGCUUUCUGGUCUGUUACUGACGCUGAGAUACGAAAGCCAGGGGAGCAAAGGGGAUUAGAUACCCCCGUAGUCCUGGCCGUAAACGAUGGGCACUAGNUGUAGUA
rnacentral:rRNA from 1 species